GGUCCAAUGGUCUAGAGGUAUGAUUCACCCUUAGGGUGGGUGAGGUCCCGCGUUCGAUUCGCGGUUGGACCC
rnacentral:tRNA from 1 species